rnacentral:tRNA from 1 species
GCACUAGUAGCUCAGCUUCAGAGCGCCGGCCUUGUAAGCCGGACGCCGGAGGUUAAAAUACCCCCCUCUGCU